GUGGGGAAUCUUCCGCAAUGGGCGAAAGCCUGACGGAGCAACGCCGCGUGAGUGAAGACGGCCUUCGGGUUGUAAAGCUCUGUUAUAUGGGACGAACGUAUUUAUGGCCAAUACCCAUAGAUAGUGACGGUACCGUAAGAGAAAGCCACGGCUAACUACGUGCCAGCAGCCGCGGUAAUACGUAGGUGGCAAGCGUUGUCCGGAAUUAUUGGGCGUAAAGGGCGCGCAGGCGGCCUGUCAAGUCUGUCUUAAAAGUGCGGGGCUCAACCCCGUGAUGGGACGGAAACUGGCAGGCUGGAGUGUCGGAGAGGAAAGCAGAAUUCCUAGUGUAGCGGUGAAAUGCGUAGAUAUUAGGAGGAAUACCAGUGGCGAAAGCGGCUUUCUGGACGACAACUGACGCUGAGGCGCGAAAGCCAGGGGAGCAAACGGGAUUAGAAACCCGGGUAGUCC
rnacentral:rRNA from 1 species